rnacentral:rRNA from 1 species
AGUGAACGCUGGCGGUAGGCCUAACACAUGCAAGUCGAACGGCAGCACAGUAAGAGCUUGCUCUUACGGGUGGCGAGUGGCGGACGGGUGAGGAAUACAUCGGAAUCUACUUUUUCGUGGGGGAUAACGUAGGGAAACUUACGCUAAUACCGCAUACGACCUACGGGUGAAAGCAGGGGAUCUUCGGACCUUGCGCGAUUGAAUGAGCCGAUGUCGGAUUAGCUAGUUGGCGGGGUAAAGGCCCACCAAGGCGACGAUCCGUAGCUGGUCUGAGAGGAUGAUCAGCCAAACUGGAACUGAGACACGGGCCAGACUCCUACGGGAGGCAGCAGUGGGGAAUAUUGGACAAUGGGCGCAAGCCUGAUCCAGCCAUACCGCGUGGGUGAAGAAGGCCUUCGGGUUGUAAAGCCCUUUUGUUGGGAAAGAAAAGCAGCAGGUUAAUACCCCGCUGUUCUGACGGUACCCAAAGAAUAAGCACCGGCUAACUUCGUG